rnacentral:rRNA from 1 species
UACGAAGGGGGCUAGCGUUGCUCGGAAUCACUGGGCGUAAAGCGCACGUAGGCGGCUCUUUAAGUCAGGGGUGAAAUCCUGGAGCUCAACUCCAGAACUGCCUUUGAUACUGAGGGUCUCGAGUCCGGGAGAGGUGAGUGGAACUGCGAGUGUAGAGGUGAAAUUCGUAGAUAUUCGCAAGAACACCAGUGGCGAAGGCGGCUCACUGGCCCGAUACUGACGCUGAGGUGCGAAAGCGUGGGGAGCAAACAGG